rnacentral:rRNA from 1 species
GACGAACGCUGGCGGCGUGCUUAACACAUGCCAGUCGAACGGAAAGGCCCUGCUUUUGUGGGGUGCUCGAGUGGCGAACGGGUGAGUAACACGUGAGUAACCUGCCCUUGACUUUGGGAUAACUUCAGGAAACUGGGGCUAAUACCGGAUAGGAGCUCCUGCUGCAUGGUGGGGGUUGGAAAGUUUCGGCGGUUGGGGAUGGACUCGCGGCUUAUCAGCUUGUUGGUGGGGUAGUGGCUUACCAAGGCUUUGACGGGUAGCCGGCCUGAGAGGGUGACCGGCCACAUUGGGACUGAGAUACGGCCCAGACUCCUACGGGAGGCAGCAGUGGGGAAUAUUGCACAAUGGGCGGAAGCCUGAUGCAGCAACGCCGCGUGCGGGAUGACGGCCUUCGGAUUGUAAACCGCUUUCGCCUGUGACGAAGCGUGAGUGACGGUAAUGGGUAAAGAAGCACCGGCUAACUACGUG